AGCAGAACUUAAACCAGAGGGAAAUAAAUCCUAUGCUUUGAAAGCCCCUAGAAGAGUAAGCCCCCUCAAGCCCAGGAAAAGAGGCAGAGGACACCCGGCGCAGAGGGAGGCGAUCCUAGACACAACCUUUUGUCUGCAGAUUAUCAAGACUGUGUCCUAGAUUCCAAGGUGACAGUGCCACAGUGUCCUGGUGACCAGUUUUCUAUUUCUUCAUCUUCCAUGGUGGAGACAUGCCCAUUGAGGAUAAAAUAAAGAACUAAGGUAGGUGAAGGAAAAAUAAAGAAGAUGAGAUUUUAGGAACAAAAUAUCUAUGGCAUAAAAUGCACUAAUAGAAGUAAUAACUAAUAAAGAUAUUUGAAGUGAGUUGUUUCAUUUUUGUAUUCUUAUUUUUGUCGCUGACCUUUUUAGCUGUGUGUUUGAGAGACAAAAUUGUGCUCUGUUGCAAGAAGAUGGGUGUCUCUUAAAAUAACAUAGAAUGGAAAAAUAUUGCCUCAAAGUUAACGUAGUUUUUAAUUUGUUAGAUAUUAAAAUGCAAGCUGAUAACUAGACAUCACUUAAACAGAGAGGUUUUCUAUUUAAUGAAGUGGUUUGCAUGGGGAAUAGACAUUCUGACAGAGAUGGUCUACUGAUGUUGGAUGUAGAAGGCAGGAUGAAUUUAGUCCCAUGGCUCUCUACUGGCACUGCCAACAGGUGACCAGCUGGCACCAAAUAUGAGCAUGACAGCUUGGUGCGCUCAACUGAGACACACGUUUCUAUUUUCCUUCAUCCAGGGAGUAGCUAAAAACAUGAUCUCUAAUUCCCUUACUGGCAUGGAACAGGGAAGAAAUAAAUGAAUUUCCAGUUAAUGAUUCUAAGUAAAAAUGUGUCCAAUAAUUUAUAAUUUUAAAGUUUAAGCUUAGUAGUGUUUACAAAGUGAUCCAUGGACUUAAGUAAUGUGAGCCUCAUGAGUUCUCUACCAUAUGAACAUAUUUAGAAAAGCUGAUAAUAUGAGAGAUUUCAAAUUUGCAAAUUCAUCUUUGAGAUCAAUGUUAAUGGGAUGAAUAUCUUUAGGUAAAACUUAUACCUCCUUGAUGGGGAUACACAGCAAGGAGAGAAGACUCAGCCCUUCUCCUUUAAUCUUAAAUUGUUUGAUUUGACUUAAGCCCAACUUAUCUGUGACAAAGAUUUUCACAAAUAUUUCAUAUGAGUUCUUGAACUUUAAUGUUUUCCUUUUCAUUAACAUUUCUCCUUUAAUUUUAAGGAUACCUUAAAAGGUGCCCUUAAAGCUCCCAAGGAAGGGUUUAAAAGAGGAAAAAAAGAGUUAUGAGAACCUGCUUCAGUGAGACUCAGGAUUAUUACACCUCAGGGUCAGAUGCGCCAAUCAGACAGAUGGACCUGAAACACCAAGGUGUAUCCUUUGAGCCCUAGCCAGCUGCUCUGUGGGAGACCAGGAAGUCUCAAACUUCCUACAAACAAUGGCUGUUUAGGGCAGAGGGGUAUCUAGAGUUCUAUCACAAUCAUACCCACCUCCCUACUUCUCUGGCACCUUUCAAGAGAAUAUAUAUUCUUUCUUUAGGAAUAUGUAUGAUAUGUUCCCCAAGAAAAUUUUAAAAUACAUGCAUACAGAGAACCAAAAGUACAAAGUUACAUGAAACAAAAUACUUUACAGAUAAGAAGCUAUGGGGCUGGUUAUUGCAUUGGUUGGAGGGGAGUCUUAUGAAAAAAGAACUUUGAUAUGAUUGCUUGUAGUAUUUUUUAAAUAUCUUCCGCUGCUCAUUAUAUUCAUUUUCCUUUAAAUACAUGAACAUAUUUACAAUAACU
rnacentral:lncRNA from 1 species